CCGUACUAGACGGGGAUUUAGCGGGACCUUGUAACCUGCAGUCCGCUACAGCAGGGUUGACCACUAUCAAGAGGGGCCAACUUGUCGAGUUUGCCGCAAGCAAGUGGCAGUGACGAUUGGGUCUUGUGCAACGAAUGCUUGUGAACCGUGUCAGGUCCGGAAGGAAGCAGCACUAAGCAAUGAUUUUUCGUGUGCCACAAGGGUGCCUGGUCUGAGUUAACUACUUGUGUACCAUCGGGAAGUUGUCU
rnacentral:SRP_RNA from 1 species